rnacentral:rRNA from 1 species
CUGGUUGAUCCUGCCAGUAGUCAUAUGCUUGUCUCAAAGAUUAAGCCAUGCAUGUCUAAGUAUAAGCAAUUAUACCGUGAAACUGCGAAUGGCUCAUUAAAUCAGUUAUCGUUUAUUUGAUAGUACCUUACUACUUGGAUAACCGUGGUAAUUCUAGAGCUAAUACAUGCUGAAAACCCCAACUUCGGGAGGGGUGUAUUUAUUAGAUAAAAAACCAAUGCCCUUCGGGGCUUUUUGGUGAUUCAUGAUAACUUUACGGAUCGCAUAGCCUUGCGCUGGCGACGGUUCAUUCAAAUUUCUGCCCUAUCAACUUUCGAUGGUAAGGUAUUGGCUUACCAUGGUUUCAACGGGUAACGGGGAAUUAGGGUUCGAUUCCGGAGAGGGAGCCUGAGAAACGGCUACCACAUCCAAGGAAGGCAGCAGGCGCGCAAAUUACCCAAUCCCGACACGGGGAGGUAGUGACAAUAAAUAACAAUAUAGGGCUCUUUCGGGUCUUAUAAUUGGAAUGAGUACAAUUUAAAUCUCUCAACGAGGAACAAUUGGAGGGCAAGUCUGGUCGGGA